UGUCGUCAGCUCGUGUUGUGAAAUGUUGGGUUAAGUCCCGCAACGAGCGCAACCCUUAUCCUUUGUUGCCAGCGGUCAGGCCGGGAACUCAAAGGAGACUGCCAGUGAUAAACUGGAGGAAGGUGGGGAUGACGUCAAGUCAUCAUGGCCCUUACGACCAGGGCUACACACGUGCUACAAUGGCGCAUACAAAGAGAAGCGACCUCGCGAGAGCAAGCGGACCUCAUAAAGUGCGUCGUAGUCCGGAUUGGAGUCUGCAACUCGACUCCAUGAAGUCGGAAUCGCUAGUAAUCGUGGAUCAGAAUGCCACGGUGAAUACGUUCCCGGGCCUUGUACACACCGCCCGUCACACCAUGGGAGUGGGUUGCAAAAGAAGUAGGUAGCUUAACCUUCGGGAGGGCGCUUACCACUUUGUGAUUCAUGACUGGGGUGAAGUCGUAACAAGGUAACCGUAGGGGAACCUGCGGUUGGA
rnacentral:rRNA from 2 species